rnacentral:rRNA from 1 species
GUGCCAGCAGCCGCGGUAAUACGUAGGUGGCAAGCGUUAUCCGGAUUUAUUGGGCGUAAAGCGAGCGCAGGCGGUGACUUAAGUCUGAUGUGAAAGCCCACGGCUCAACCGUGGAAGGUCAUUGGAAACUGGGUCACUUGAGUGCAGAAGAGGAAAGUGGAAUUCCAUGUGUAGCGGUGAAAUGCGUAGAUAUAUGGAGGAACACCAGUGGCGAAGGCGACUUUCUGGUCUGUAACUGACGCUGAGGCUCGAAAGCGUGGGGA